GAACGCUAGCGAUAGGCUUAACACAUGCAAGUCGAGGGGCAGCAUGAUCUUAGCUUGCUAAGGUUGAUGGCGACCGGCGCACGGGUGCGUAACGCGUAUGCAACUUGCCUUACAGAGGGGGAUAACCCGUUGAAAGACGGACUAAAACCGCAUACACUUGUAUUAUUGCAUGAUAUUACAAGGAAAUAUUUAUAGCUGUAAGAUAGGCAUGCGUCCCAUUAGCUGGUUGGUGAGGUAACGGCUCACCAAGGCGACGAUGGGUAGGGGAACUGAGAGGUUUAUCCCCCACACUGGUACUGAGACACGGACCAGACUCCUACGGGAGGCAGCAGUGAGGAAUAUUGGUCAAUGGGCGAGAGCUUGAACCAGCCAAGUCGCGUGAAGGAAGACAGUCCUAAGGAUUGUAAACUUCUUUUAUACGGGAAUAACGGGCGAUACGAGUAUUGCAUUGAAUGUACCGUAAGAAUAAGCAUCGGCUAACUCCGUGCCAGCAGCCGCGGUAAUACGGAGGAUGCGAGCGUUAUCCGGAUUUAUUGGGUUUAAAGGGUGCGUAGGUUGUUCGGUAAGUCAGCGGUGAAACCUGAGCGCUCAACGUUCAGCCUGCCGUUGAAACUGCCGGGCUUGAGUUCAGUGGCGGCAGGCGGAAUUCGUGGUGUAGCGGUGAAAUGCAUAG
rnacentral:rRNA from 1 species